ensembl:lncRNA
UGGAGGAACAAGUAAGAGCUGAGCUGGACAGCAAUGCAAUGCUCACCCAAACUCAAUGUGAGGGGAGAGUUCUCCUUCAGAUUGACGAGGACAGAUUGCAACAGUUCCUUGAUCUUCUCCCUGAAAAAAAGACUGGAGAAGUGCAAAAGGAGAUAUGCCAAAAAACGCAGCUAAAAGCCAGCCGGCCCAAGCUGCAAAAGACCCAGGGUGAUGUCGAGGGACAGACACCCAAGACCAAGAUCCAGUGUGUAGACUUGAAAAUGAAGGGAGAAAAACAGCUUCUGCCUAAUUUUGAAGAGACUAUCUCUAAGGAGAACUUGGAAUUGAAGGGUCAACUGGAAUGGAUGUUGAAGGUCAGUGCUGAAAUGAAGCUGGCUAAAACUAACACAGAGAUUGAAUUGGAAAGUCAACUGGAAAUUGAGAGGGCUCAAACAGAGAAGCUUCGCAUUGAAUUGACAAAGUUGGCAGAAGCUCUUAAAAACCAGGAGGGGUCAGCAAUCCAAAUGAGGGAACGAUUCCAAGCCUUCCAUAACACCCAGAUGUACAAUUGGAAAUUGGAGAACAACGGCAUUGCGGCGGCCCUGAAAGCAGCACAGGACGAACUCCAAGCUGAGCGGAUGAAGGGAGAAAAACCGGCCCUUCAAAAUGACGCAGAAGCUAAAGAGUUGAAGCCCCAGGCUGAAGGGAAGUGGAUUGCUGCAGCUGACCGUAAAGAGAACUGGAAAUUGAAGAGCCAACUGGAAAUUGAGAGGGCUAAAACAAAGAAGCAACACAUUGAAUUGACAAAGUUGGCAGAAGCUCUUAAAAACCAGCAGGGUCCAGAUAACCAAAUGAGGGAACGAUUCCAAGCCUUCCAUAACACCCAGAUGAACAAUUGGACAGCGGAGAAAAUCGGCAUUGCAGCGGCCCUGAAAGCAGCACAGGACGAACUCCAAGCUGAGCGGAUGAAGGGAGAAAAACAGGCCCUUCAAAAUGACGCAGAAGCUAAAGAGUUGAAGCCCCAGGCUGAAGGGACGUGCAUUGCUGCGGCUGACACUAAAGAGAAGUUGGAAUUGGAGAGCCAACUGGAAAAUGAGAGGGCUCAAACAAAGGAGCAACAAAUUGAAAUAUCAAAGUUGGCAGAAGCUCUUAAAAACAAAGAGGAGGCAGUAAAGCAAGUAAAGGAAUUAUUCCAGGCUUUCCAAGAGGACACGAUGAGCAAACAGAGAGCGGAAAGAGACAAGAUGGCUGCAGCCCUGAAAGCAUCACAGGACCUUCUCAAGAGUGAGCACUUCACCACUCAGCAGAUGACGACCAACCAAGGUGAAAUGCAACAAUUCAAGGCCUCAAGCCAAGCUAAACUGGACGAACAGAGGGAUGCUAUCAUUAAGCUCAAGGCCGCUCUGGAAAAGUCUGAGCAGGACCUGAAGGCCGGUCAUCUCCAGUGGCAACAGGAAAAGGUUUCCCUCAAAGAACACUGUGUCCACUUAUCUCAUUCUGAGGGCCAACACAUGGGCACGCAGACCCAUGCAGUUGAUCAAGAGAUGGACGAACAGAGAGAGGAGACAAUCAGGAUCUUAGCCACCCUGAAAGCAACACAGGACGAGCUCCAAGCUGAGCGGAUGAAGGGAGAAAAACAGGCCCUUCAAAAUGACGUGGAGGCUAUGAUGUUGAAGGUCCGUGCUGAAUUGAAGCUGGCUAAAACUAACGUGGAGUUGGAAUUGGAAAGUCAACUGGAAAUUGAGAGGGCUCAAACAAAGAAGCAACAAAUUGAAAUAUCAACGUUGGCAGAAGCUCUUAAAAACCAGCAGGAGGCAGUAAAGCAAGUAAAGGAAUUAUUCCAGGCUUUCCAACAGGACACGAUGAGCAAACAGAGAGCGGAAAGAGACAAGAUGGCUGCAGCCCUGAAAGCAUCACAGGACCUUCUCAAGAGUGAGGAGAUGACGACCAACCAAGGUGAAAUGCAACAAUUCAAGGCCUCAAGCCAAGCUAAACUGGACGAACAGACUCAAAUCAACGAAAGCACCAAGGCUGCUCUCCUUAAGAGUGAGCAUUGCCUGCAUAAUGCACGUCUUGAGUGGCAAAAGGAGAGGUCUUCCCUGACAGAAGUCCGUGACGUUCUUCAAGCCCAGGUGAAGACAGAGACAGAGGCCAAGCAGACGCUGGAGAGAAUCAUAUCAGCCCAUCAAGGCCAGCUAGAAGAACAGAAAGCUAAGUCCAACGAGACCUUGUUAGCUAUGAAAGUUAUCAAUGUUCGGUUAGAAACCCAGCGUCAGGAAAAUUCCUUCCUCACCGCACAGCUGCAGACGCAAGACACAGUCAGCAAAAGCCGUACUAUUGAGUGGGAGCAGGAGAGGUCUCACCUCACAGCCAGGCUGAAUAAAACAUCCACGGACCUUGAACAUGCCCUGCUGAGGAACGUCACUCUUUUUCAAACAAUGGAGAAGGAGGCUGCGGAGACGUUUGAAAGAAACCAGGCAUCCCAAGAACAGCUGAUCUCAACAAUUCGUAAAGACAAAGAUGACUCGUUAGAAAGGCAGCGCCUCAGCUUUCAGGACAUGAUAUCACACCUUGAAACAUCCAACAGAAACUGUGUUACCAAGCAAGAGACGCAGGAGGAGGACCACAAAACCCUCCUAGCUUCUCUGAUCAAGAAGUUUGAGGAUGACCGAGAGAGUAAACGUCUCGAAUGGAACCAGGAGAGGUCCGACCUCCUUAAGAUCUCAAAACAAUCCAUGGCAAGGGAGGAGGAGUACCAGGAGAACAACAUCUCCUUAAGCUCUCAUGUGGAAGCCCUUCAAUGUCAGAUCAACAAGCCAAAGAAAAAGUGGUACAAGCUAUUCUAAGGCCCGGCUACAGAUCAAGACCAAUGACCCCCACACACAGACACCAAAACGCAUUGCUGUGAGGUCAGUCAACUCCUAAAGUGCACUAAAACGCACAAAAAAAAAAGAAGAAAAUACAUAAACACACACACAAACACACACACAUAGACAACAAAUACAUAAACACACACAACAAAUACAUAAAUACACACACACAGACAAAAAAUACAUAAACGCACACACACAGACAACAAAUACAUAAACACACACACAGACAAUAAAUACAUAAACACACACACACACAGACAACAAAUACAUAAACACACACACACAGACAACAAAUACAUAAACACACACACACACAGACAAUAAAUACAUAAACAC